rnacentral:rRNA from 1 species
AAUCAACGCUGGCGGCGUGCCUAACACAUGCAAGUCGAACGCGAAAGCCCCGCAAGGGGUAAGUAGAGUGGCAAACGGGUGAGUAACACGUGGGUGAUCUGCCUCAGAGUGGGGGAUAACGACCCGAAAGGGUCGCUAAUACCGCAUAACAUCCUGCGCUUGGAUGCGUGGAGAUCAAAGUUGGGGAUUCGCAAGAACCUGACGCUUGGAGAGGAGCCCGCGGCCGAUUAGCUAGUUGGUGAGGUAACGGCUCACCAAGGCAACGAUCGGUAUCCGGCCUGAGAGGGCGGACGGGACACACCGGGACUGAGACACGGCCCAGACUCCUACGGGAGGCAGCAGUGGGGAAUUGUUCGCAAUGGGCGCAAGCCUGACGACGCAACGCCGCGUGGAGGACGAAGAUUUUCGGGAUCGUAAACUCCUUUCGA